CAACUCUCCUAUGAUGAACAGGGACACCUACAGCUCCAUCAGAACACCACCAGGGACCUAAAAAUGACAGAUUCAUUUCUGAAAGCCAUGUGCGGAUCACAAAAACAACAAAUUCACUCCUUCAACAGAUGCUUGAAAAUAUAUGCAUGCUUCAUUAGUCUAAUUUGUCUACUCGAAGCCUAGUCCAAAACGGCAGAAAAGUUCCAAAACCACAUCAAGCACCAUGGAGACCACUGUGCAUAAUAAUAAAAACAAACAUGAUCAGCAGGCA